rnacentral:rRNA from 1 species
AAAACCAUGUGGAAAGGCACAGACAGCCAGGAGGUUGGCUUAGAAGCAGCCACCCUUUAAAGAAAGCGUAAUAGCUCACUGGUCGAGUCGGUCUGCGGGGAAGAUUUAACGGGGCUAAGCACAGAACCGAAGCUUGGGGUGCAUAACUUUGUUAUGCGCGGUAGAGGAGCGUUCCGUAAGCCGUUGAAGGUGGAUUGAGAAGUCUGCUGGAGGUAUCGGAAGUGCGAAUGCUGACAUGAGUAACGAUAAUGCGGGUGAAAAACCCGCACGCCGAAAGCCCAAGGUUUCCUUGCGCAACGUUAAUCGGCGCAGGGUGAGUCGGCCCCUAAGGCGAGGACGAAAGUCGUAGUCGAUGGGAAGCAGGUUAAUAUUCCUGCACCUCGCGUAAGUGCGAUGGAGGGACGGAGAAGGUUAGGUGUACCAGGCGUUGGUUGUCCUGGGGAAAGGCGGUAGGUUUGGAUCUUUGGCAAAUCCGGGAUCCUUUAAGACCGAGCACCGAGACGAGCCUUUAUGGCAAAGUCACUGAUACCACGCUUCCAGGAAAAGCUCCUAAGCUUCAGCUUACGCAGACCGUACCGUAAACCGACACAGGUGGGUAGGAUGAGAAUUCUCAGGCGCUUGAGAGAACUCGGGUGAAGGAACUAGGCAACAUGGCACCGUAACUUCGGGAGAAGGUGCACCCUUUUUGGUGGCUCGUGCGAGCUAUAGCUGAAGAGGGUCGCAGUAACCAGGCCGCUGCGACUGUUUAUCAAAAACACAGCACUCUGCAAACACGAAAGUGGACGUAUAGGGUGUGACGCCUGCCCGGUGCUGGAAGGUUAAUUGAUGGGGUCAGCCGCAAGGCGAAGCUCUUGAUCGAAGCCCCAGUAAACGGCGGCCGUAACUAUAACGGUCCUAAGGUAGCGAAAUUCCUUGUCGGGUAAGUUCCGACCUGCACGAAUGGCGUAACGACAGCGGCGCUGUCUCCACCCGAGACUCAGUGAAAUUGAAAUCGCUGUGAAGAUGCAGCGUUCCCGUGGCAAGACGGAAAGACCCCGUGAACCUUUACUAUAGCUUUACACUGAACGUUGAGUUCGUCUGUGUAGGAUAGGUGGGAGGCUAUGAAACCAUGGCGCUAGCUGUGGUGGAGCCAUCCUUGAAAUACCACCCUGUCGUGCUUGACGUUCUAACCUGGGCCCAUUAUCUGGGUCGGGGACCGUGUAUGGUGGGUAGUUUGACUGGGGCGGUCUCCUCCUAAAGAGUAACGGAGGAGCUCGAAGGUACGCUCAGCGCGGUCGGACAUCGCGCACUGUGUGCAAAGGCAUAAGCGUGCUUGACUGCAAGAUCGACGGAUCAAGCAGGUAGGAAACUAGGACUUAGUGAUCCGGUGGUUCUGUAUGGAAGGGCCAUCGCUCAACGGAUAAAAGGUACUCCGGGGAUAACAGGCUGAUACCGCCCAAGAGUUCAUAUCGACGGCGGUGUUUGGCACCUCGAUGUCGGCUCAUCACAUCCUGGGGCUGUAGUCGGUCCCAAGGGUAUGGCUGUUCGCCAUUUAAAGUGGUACGCGAGCUGGGUUCAGAACGUCGUGAGACAGUUCGGUCCCUAUCUGCCAUGGGCGUUGGAGAUUUGAGAGGGGCUGCUCCUAGUACGAGAGGACCGGAGUGGACGAACCUCUGGUGUUCCGGUUGUCACGCCAGUGGCAUUGCCGGGUAGCUAUGUUCGGAAGCGAUAACCGCUGAAAGCAUCUAAGCGGGAAGCGCGCCUCAAGAUGAGAUCUCCCGGGGCACAAGCCCCCUGAAGGAACCAUGUAGACUACGUGGUUGAUAGGUCAGGUGUGUAAGUACAGCAAUGUAUUGAGCUAACUGAUACUAAUGAUCCGUGCGGCUUGACCAUAUAACCUCA